UAGGGAAUCUUCCACAAUGGGCGGAAGCCUGAUGGAGCAACGCCGCGUGUGUGAUGAAGGGUUUCGGCUCGUAAAACACUGUUGUAAGAGAAGAAUGACAUUGAGAGUAACUGUUCAAUGUGUGACGGUAUCUUACCAGAAAGGAACGGCUAAAUACGCGCCAG
rnacentral:rRNA from 1 species